rnacentral:rRNA from 1 species
GACGAACGCUGGCGGCGUGCUUAACACAUGCAAGUCGAACGCUGAAGCUCAGCUUUUGUUGGGUGGAUGAGUGGCGAACGGGUGAGUAACACGUGAGUAACCUGCCCCCUUCUUUGGGAUAACGCCCGGAAACGGGUGCUAAUACUGGAUAUUCACUGGUCUUCGCAUGGGGGUUGGUGGAAAGGGUUUUUCUGGUGGGGGAUGGGCUCGCGGCCUAUCAGCUUGUUGGUGGGGUGAUGGCCUACCAAGGCUUUGACGGGUAGCCGGCCUGAGAGGGUGACCGGUCACAUUGGGACUGAGAUACGGCCCAGACUCCUACGGGAGGCAGCAGUGGGGAAUAUUGCACAAUGGGCGCAAGCCUGAUGCAGCGACGCCGCGUGAGGGAUGGAGGCCUCCGGGUUGUGAACCUCUUUCGCUCAUGGUCAAGCCGCAACAAUGGUUGUGGUGAGGGUAGUGGGUAAAGAAGCGCCGGCUAACUACGUG